CUUGACAUGUAUGGAACCCUGCUGAGAGGUGGGGGUGCCCGAAAGGGAGCCAUAACACAGGUGCUGCAUGGCUGUCGUCAGCUCGUGUCGUGAGAUGUUGGGUUAAGUCCCGCAACGAGCGCAACCCUUGUCCCUAGUUGCUACGCAAGAGCACCCUAGGGAGACUGCCGGUGACAAACCGGAGGAAGGUGGGGAUGACGUCAAGUCCUCAUGGCCCUUAUGGGUAG
rnacentral:rRNA from 1 species